UUGGUUAAGUUAGAAAGGGCGCACGGUGGAUGCCUUGGCACUAGGAGCCGAAGAAGGACGGGACUAACACCGAUAUGCUUUGGGGAGCUGUACGUAAGCGUUGAUCCAGAGAUUUCCGAAUGGGGGAACCCACUAUCUUUAGUCGGAUAGUAUCCUUACGUGAAUACAUAGCGUGAGGAAGGCAGACCCAGGGAACUGAAACAUCUAAGUACCUGGAGGAAGAGAAAGAAAAAUCGAUUUCCUGAGUAGCGGCGAGCGAAACGGAAAGAGCCCAAACCAAGAAGCUUGCUUCUUGGGGUUGUAGGACACUCUAUACGGAGUUACAAAAGAAAGUUAUAAAUGAAGCGGUCUGGAAAGGCCCGCCAAAGACGGUAACAGCCCGGUAGUUGAAAUAGCUUUCCCUCCAGAGUGGAUCCUGAGUACGGCGGAACACGUGAAAUUCCGUCGGAAUCCGGGAGGACCAUCUCCCAAGGCUAAAUACUCCCUAGUGACCGAUAGUGAACCAGUACCGUGAGGGAAAGGUGAAAAGCACCCCGGAAGGGGAGUGAAACAGUUCCUGAAACCGUGUGCCUACAAGUAGUUAGAGCCCGUUAAUGGGUGAUAGCGUGCCUUUUGUAGAAUGAACCGGCGAGUUACGAUUUGUUGCAAGGUUAAGCGGAAAAAGCGGAGCCGUAGCGAAAGCGAGUCUGAAUAGGGCGCAUAAGUAACAGGUCGUAGACCCGAAACCAGGUGAUCUACCCAUGUCCAGGAUGAAGGUAAGGUAAUACUUACUGGAGGUCCGAACCCACGCACGUUGAAAAGUGCGGGGAUGAGGUGUGGGUAGCGGAGAAAUUCCAAUCGAACUUGGAGAUAGCUGGUUCUCUCCGAAAUAGCUUUAGGGCUAGCCUCGAGGUAAAGAGUCAUGGAGGUAGAGCACUGUUUGGACUAGGGGCCCUUCUCGGGUUACCGAAUUCAGAUAAACUCCGAAUGCCAUGUACUUAUACUCGGGAGUCAGACUGCGAGUGAUAAGAUCCGUAGUCGAAAGGGAAACAGCCCAGACCACCAGUUAAGGUCCCCAAAUAUAUGUUAAGUGGAAAAGGAUGUGGGGUUGCUUAGACAACCAGGAUGUUGGCUUAGAAGCAGCCACCAUUGAAAGAGUGCGUAAUAGCUCACUGGUCGAGUGACCCCGCGCCGAAAAUGUACCGGGGCUAAACAUAUUACCGAAACUGUGGAUGAACCUCUUCGGAGGUUCGUGGUAGGAGAGCGUUCUAAGGGCGGUGAAGUCAGACCGGAAGGACUGGUGGAGCGCUUAGAAGUGAGAAUGCCGGUAUGAGUAGCGAAAGAAGGGUGAGAAUCCCUUCCACCGAAUAUCUAAGGUUUCCUGAGGAAGGCUCGUCCGCUCAGGGUUAGUCGGGACCUAAGCCGAGGCCGAUAGGCGUAGGCGAUGGACAACAGGUAGAGAUUCCUGUACCAGUGCUAAUUGUUUAACC
rnacentral:rRNA from 1 species